rnacentral:misc_RNA from 1 species
GAAAUGCGAUAAGUAAUGUGAAUUGCAGAAUCUCGUGAAUCAUUGAAUCUUUGAACGCACAUUGCGCCCCUUGGUAUUCCAUGGGGCAUGCCUGUUCGAGCGUCAUUUGUACCCUCAAGCUCUGCUUGGUGUUGGGUGUUUGUCCCCGUCUCCGCGCGUGGACUCGCCCCAAAGUGAUUGGCAGCCGGCGUACUGGUCCCGGAGCGCAGCACAUGUCGCGCAAACGAGUGCCUUGGUACGGCGGCGUCCAUAAGCCCCUCUCUCACGCUCUUGACCUCGGAUCAGGUAGGGAUACCCGCUGAACUUAAGC